CAGAAGAGCAGAUUAUGCAGACUUAAAAACUAAUAACUUUUCACUUGUUUUUCAGCUUCCACUUCUGAAUAAACUGAGUCAAAAGUAGUGGAGUGGUCCACACACUGUCCAGUAGAGGACUCCUACUUCAGCUGAGGUUAAACCACAGCUUCUGUGAGUCAGUUUUGCUAAUGAGAUCCUUGAUUUCACAGCAUCCAUCCUUCCCACUAACUCUGGAGCUGAACUUUUUGGUAACAUGAAUUGAUGCCAAAUUCUUUCGAUGUCUGUGCGUAGAGGGAUGAAGGAUCAUUAUUUGUGC
rnacentral:lncRNA from 1 species